rnacentral:rRNA from 1 species
CCUACGGGAGGCAGCAGUGGGGAAUAUUGGACAAUGGGGGGAACCCUGAUCCAGCGACGCAGCGUGAGUGAAGAAGUCUUUCGGUAUGUAAAGCUCUAUCAGCAGGGAAGAAAAUGACGGUACCUGACUAAGAAGCCCCGGCUAACUACGUGCCAGCAGCCGCGGUAAUACGUAGGGGGCAAGCGUUAUCCGGAUUUACUGGGUGUAAAGGGAGCGUAGACGGUUAUGUAAGUCUGGAGUGAAAGCCCGGGGCCCAACCCCGGGACUGCUUUGGAAACUGGGUAACUGGAGUACAGGAGGGGCAGGCGAAAUUCCUGGUGUAGCGGUGAAAUGCGUAGAUAUGAGGAGGAACACCGGCGGCGAAGGCGGCCUGCUGGACUGAAACUGACGUUGAGGCUCGAAAGCGUGGGGAGCAAACAGGAUUAGAUACCCUGGUAGUA